UACGAAGGGGGCUAGCGUUGUUCGGAAUUACUGGGCGUAAAGGGCGCGUAGGCGGUGUGUCAAGUCAGGCGUGAAAGCCCCGGGCUCAACCUGGGAACCGCGCUUGAGACUGGCACGCUCGAGUCCGGAAGAGGAUGGUGGAAUUCCCAGUGUAGAGGUGAAAUUCGUAGAUAUUGGGAAGAACACCGAUGGCGAAGGCAGCCAUCUGGACCGGCACUGACGCUGAGGCGCGAAAGCGUGGGGAGCAAACAGG
rnacentral:rRNA from 1 species